AUCCAGCUGACGAGUCCCAAAUAGGACGUCCUGGAU
rfam:Schistosoma rodhaini strain Burundi genome assembly, scaffold: SROB_scaffold0000307